UAGAAUGCUGUGGCUUUGUGCAGUGUGACGGUAGAAUCCAUGCAAUCAGCACUCUGAUAGAUAUGCUCAGUAACUUGAUGAUGGCCAGAGAUCAGACUGUGUGAGAUGCUCUGUAGCGUCACAGAAGAAUAGCAUAACAUCUGUGCGCUUACAGCAAACAGCCCAGGUGCCAGCCCUUGCAUGCUAAAAGAAAAUGCCAUGAAGUGCUAAAACUACUGGGCUUCUAAUCGUGUUGGAAAGUGUAUUGAUAUGAGGGGGAGUGCUGUAACCAUGGGUUACAAAGAUACAGUAGACACAUGUGGCUUGGAUGUACUGUCACAAAACUGGACUCUCUCUGUGGAACAAAGAGAAAAGCCCGUCUUUGGCGUAUCCGUGGAAUGGAUUUCAUGCCAUGAAGAUGCUGUGCAUAUCUGAUGGGCCAAUCAAUGACUUUGAGGUAGUUGCACAAGUGUUAUUGUAACCCACUGGUGAGGGGGACCUAUGGCUUCUUCAACUAGGGCCACUCAAAUCAGCCCAGCUGCUCAGAGGCAGAGUGGAAGAGAACACUGCCAGUGAUUAUUGUGUCCCCCAGACCUGGGAGGGGGGCAUCUUCUCUUGGUUAUCCGUCAAGCAAAGGGAGGGACUUUCAGAGGCCAUGAGCCCCUUAGACUGCACUCCUGCCUGACCACCCAAAGGUAGGGUGGGCACAGGUGGGAAAGGGGAGAAGACAACACUCCCCAUUACAGCGAAUGGAAAAGUUUUCCAUCAAACUUUUUUUUUUUUUGCUGGAAAUUUGGGGGGUUGAUUUUUACAGGAAAAGUGUCUGCUUUCUGUGGCAAAUUUCAAUAUUUCAUCGAAAACCCAAAUGCCUAAAAACUGGAGGGGGGUUGAUUUUCAACAGAAAACUGAAAUAUUUUUAUUCAAAAUGUCAUUGUGGUGCCUCAUGCGAAUUGUUGUUCCAGUGCCUUAUGCUUCAAUUCUCCUCUUUGGGCUCUCAGGCAGGACUACAUUUCGCAUUGUGUGCCAUGUCCAGGGACUCCUAUCAUGGAAAUGGUGCAUCAUGGGGCAAGUAGUCUGGCCAGAGAGCCCAGCCCAUAGAGGAGAAUAGGAGCAUGAUGUCCCCCAACUACAGCUCCCAUGAAGCACCACAAUGUUGAAUUAAAGCAUUUCGGUUUUCAAAGUUGUCUUCACACAGGGGGAAAAGAACUAUUUUCCAACCAGCUCUACUCCCACCCUCACAAAAGAUAUCAAUUUUGCUUGGUGGGAGACACCAAUUCAAGACCCCUUCAAUCCAUGCCCUCUACCCCUCAGCAGUUCCACAAAGCGUGUAGAAACUUCAGCGUUUCUAGAGCAGUAAACAGAGACAAAAGGAACACCAAGAGCUGUUCGGAAGGGCGAGGAAUGGAGUGAAUGCAGAUUGGUUUGAGUGACAAUGAGAAUUAAUGGGUGCCUUACUAUCGUGCAGCAUGGAUCCAGUUUUUACCCAUAGAAAAUACACCUCUGUCACAAUUAAAGCGUCUGUAUGUUUUCAGCUCUGCUAGACAAUACAAUUGAGGACAGCACAAUAAAACACACACCAUUUAGGGCCUGAGCCCCUAAAACUCCCAUAGAAGUGAAAAUUUAAUAGGAGUUGUGAGGACUUGGCACCCUCAUUCAGAAAUUAGCUAUGUGUUUUACAUACAUAUUCCUCCUGUGUGUGUAAACUUUAUAAAAGCUAUUGACCCUCUGUUUAAUAUGAGGACAGUAGCAGCCAAGAGACUGAAAUGUUGGCAAAUGCUAAACUAUCACUCAUCAAGAUGGAUAUCCCUAUCUUCACCCAGAGACGUGAGACAUGACUGCAGAAUGUAAGUGCCAGGUGAUUAGGGCUGCUGGGGAAGGAGUAGAGGAAAAAUGUAAAUACGAUGGGACUCCUGUAGCAGGGGUCACAUAAUUUGUCUGCAAGAGGGCUAACUCUGCAUAGCUUUAAUCGUGGUCUCCAAAAAGGGCUCAGAACACAUUAUGUGAGUGCAAAUUAGUGACAAACAUUGGACAAUUACUACUUCCGCAUGCUUGUAAGGAAGAGCUGGAUGAAGGAAUCUAUUGCUGGUUUACUAUACUUAAACUUUCCUUAUGAGAAAAGAACAGGAGUACGUGUGGCACCUGAGAGACUAACAAAUUUAUCAGAGCAUAAGCUUUCAUGGGCUAC